GAUGAACGCUAGCGGCAGGCCUAAUACAUGCAAGUCGAACGGUGUAGCAAUACACAGUGGCGCACGGGUGCGUAACACGUAUGCAACCUACCUUACAUUGGGGGAUAGUCUUUCGAAAGGGAGAUUAAUACCGCAUAAGACAGUAACUAGGCAUCUAGUAGCUGUUAAAGAUUUAUCGAUGUAAGCUGGGCAUGCGUCCAAUUAGUUAGUUGGCGAGGUAAUGGCUCACCAAGACGAUGAUUGGUAGGGGAACUGAGAGGUCAAUCCCCCACACUGGCACUGAGAUACGGGCCAGACUCCUACGGGAGGCAGCAGUAGGGAAUAUUGGGCAGUGGGCGCAAGCCUGACCCAGCCAUGCCGCGUGCAGGAAGAAGGCGUUAUGCGUUGUAAACUGCUUUUAUACAGGAAGAAACGACCCUUGCGAGGGGCAUUGACGGUACUGUAUGAAUAAGCACCGGCUAACUCCGUGCCAGCCGCCGCCGUAAUAC
rnacentral:rRNA from 1 species